UGGUUCUGGCAUCGAUGAAGAACGCAGCGAAAUGCGAUAAGUAAUGCGAAUUGCAGAAUCCGUGAGUCAUCGAAUCUUUGAACGCAUAUUGCGCCCCUUGGUAUUCCGGGGGGCAUGCCUGUUCGAGCGUCAUUAUCACCCCUCAAGCCCGGCUUGUUGUUGGACGUCGGCGGUCGCCUCGCGCACCGCCCGUCUCAAAGAUAAUGACGGCGUCUGUGAGGACUCCUGUACACUGAGCUUUCGGGCACGUACUAGGUCAGCUCUCCAGGCCCGGUCUUUUAACGUUGCUUCGGCGAUGAACUUUUUCUUAAGGUUGACCUCGGAUCAGGUAGGAAUACCCGCUGA
rnacentral:misc_RNA from 1 species